GUAGGGCGGGACACGUGGUAUCCUGUCUGAAUAUGGGGGGACCAUCCUCCAAGGCUAAAUACUCCUGACUGACCGAUAGUGAACCAGUACCGUGAGGGAAAGGCGAAAAGAACCCCGGCGAGGGGAGUGAAAAAGAACCUGAAACCGUGUACGUACAAGCAGUGGGAGCACGCUUAGGCGUGUGACUGCGUACCUUUUGUAUAAUGGGUCAGCGACUUAUAUUCUGUAGCAAGGUUAACCGAAUAGGGGAGCCGAAGGGAAACCGAGUCUUAACUGGGCGUUAAGUUGCAGGGUAUAGACCCGAAACCCGGUGAUCUAGCCAUGGGCAGGUUGAAGGUUGGGUAACACUAACUGGAGGACCGAACCGACUAAUGUUGAAAAAUUAGCGGAUGACUUGUGGCUGGGGGUGAAAGGCCAAUCAAACCGGGAGAUAGCUGGUUCUCCCCGAAAGCUAUUUAGGUAGCGCCUCGUGAAUUCAUCUCCGGGGGUAGAGCACUGUUUCGGCAAGGGGGUCAUCCCGACUUACCAACCCGAUGCAAACUGCGAAUACCGGAGAAUGUUAUCACGGGAGACACACGGCGGGUGCUAACGUCCGUCGUGAAGAGGGAAACAACCCAGACCGCCAGCUAAGGUCCCAAAGUCAUGGUUAAGUGGGAAACGAUGUGGGAAGGCCCAGACAGCCAGGAUGUUGGCUUAGAAGCAGCCAUCAUUUAAAGAAAGCGUAAUAGCUCACUGGUCGAGUCGGCCUGCGCGGAAGAUGUAACGGGGCUAAACCAUGCAC
rnacentral:rRNA from 1 species